GAAAUGCGGUAAGUAAUGUGAAUUGCAGAAUUCAGUGAAUCAUCGAAUCUUUGAACGCACCUUGCGCUCCUUGGUAUUCCUUGGAGCAUGCCUGUUUGAGUAUCAUGAAAUCUUCAAAGUAAAUCUUUUGUUAACUCAAUUGGUUUCUACUUUGGUAUUGGAGGUCUUUGCAGCUUCACACCUGCUCCUCUUUGUUCAUUAGCUGGAUCUCUGUGUUAUGCUUGGUUCCACUCGGCGUGAUAAGUUAUCUAUCGCUGAGGACACUGUAAAAGGUGGCCAAGGUAAAUGCAGAUGAACCGCUUCUAAUAGUCCAUUGACUUGGACAAUACUUUUAUGAUCUGAUCUCAAAUCAGGUAGGACUACCCGCUGAACUUAAGC
rnacentral:misc_RNA from 1 species